GACGAACGCUGGCGGCGUGCUUAACACAUGCAAGUCGAGCGGUAAGGCCCUUUCGGGGGUACACGAGCGGCGAACGGGUGAGUAACACGUGGGUGACCUGCCCUCAGCUCUGGGAUAAGCCUGGGAAACCGGGUCUAAUACUGGAUAUGACUCCAUGACGCAUGUUGUGGGGUGGAAAGCCUUGUGCGGCUGAGGAUGGGCCCGCGGCCUAUCAGCUUGUUGGGGGGUGA
rnacentral:rRNA from 1 species